CCUGAGGAUGAAGUCAAAUAUUGCUACCCCUCUAUGGUACCCACCUGACUUACCAUGCUUUGCUAGUGCAAUGAGAGGUGCUUUCCCCUUGGUUACUGAGCUCGACUCUGGGACAUCGAUGGUGGUCGACAUGUUUUGCCUAUGAAGAAGAAGAGUGUGCUGUAGUUGAUGAGAGAGUUGUGGUUGAGUUUGAAGUUAAUGAGAAUGUGGGGUGGAAUGAAGGAGAUUAAAUAGGGGAGGAGUUUGCUUGAGGGGAUCUAAGUGUGGGUUAGUUCAACUGAAUGGGCUACAAAGGGGAGUUGUUGGUUUUUCUUCUUCUUUUUGGGUUCUGCAAUUGGAUAAUUUGCAGAGUGGUUGUUCCUGCUUCCUUAAUAAGAAGUAGAGUCAACCAAAAUCAAUGGUUGGAACUUGAUCUUAGAACAAAAAUACAAAACCAAGCCAAAUGGUUCAGUUCAUUCACCAGUUGGAAUACUCCAGUAAUGAACUCAAUAUUUUGUUUGUGAUGAUCCAGAUGUACGUUGUGUAAUUGGAAAAAAAAAUCAACCAUUAUAGAUUCUUGGGGUUAAUAACAUGAAUAAUAACAUGAGCAAUCAAAUCUAAGGAUCAAGCAGCUAGACAAGAUCUUGCCUCUUAAGCAUUUUGCACAAAUUUGCGGUCGUCCUUGUUAGCAUUUCGUCCUGAAGCUGGACAUAACUUCAUGGUGAUGGAGAUAUAAUCCAUCCACGCUCUGCAAGCGCUUCGACGACUUUAGUAGCUGCUGUUGCAGUAUCAUUCAGUGGAGAGUAGGUCCAGUUCUCUGAUAGCUGUAAGAUGUACAACUUUUAAGUUAAUGGUGAAGUUGUGCAACCUUUGCUAUUUCGC
rnacentral:lncRNA from 1 species